UACGGAGGGUGCGAGCGUUGUCCGGAAUCAUUGGGCGUAAAGGGCGCGUAGGUGGCGGGACAAGCGUGCGGUGAAAGCUCGGGGCUUAACCCUGAAAUGGCAUUGAAUACUGCCUGGCUGGAGGUUUGGAGGGGGGACUGGAAUUCUUGGUGUAGCAGUGAAAUGCGUAGAUAUCAAGAGGAACACCAGUGGCGAAGGCGAGUCCCUGGACAACACCUGACACUGAGGCACGAAAGCUAGGGGAGCAAACAGG
rnacentral:rRNA from 1 species